rnacentral:rRNA from 1 species
UGCGUCCUACGGGAGGCAGCAGUGGGGAAUAUUGGGCAAUGGGCGCAAGCCUGACCCAGCAACGCCGCGUGAAGGAAGAAGGCUUUCGGGUUGUAAACUUCUUUUAAGGGGGACGAACAAAUGACGGUACCCCUUGAAUAAGCCACGGCUAACUACGUGCCAGCAGCCGCGGUAAUACGUAGGUGGCAAGCGUUAUCCGGAUUUAUUGGGUGUAAAGGGCGGGUAGGCGGGGGCGCAAGGCAGGUGGGAAAAC